CUCCUCCUCCACAGCAUUUCCUUUGUUUGUUUGGGCUGCUGCAGGUCCACCUAUGGAAGCUGGCUGAAGAAUGCAACCACUUUCCACAGGCCUGCUGGAUAGAGGGGGUGGAGGGUGGGGUUGAGUAGGAAUAAACAUGCCACAACAGCCCAGUCUGCUGCUCUGUCCACCUGUGGCUCAGAUCCCACUUUAUUUUUUGGUAGUUUUUUUGUAUGUACUUACAGAAUACACGAAAGACUCAGUAGUGCAUCAUAUCAUCUGUCAUGAGCAGACUCUGUUUAAGUCCUACUUCUUGAGUGUAACACCAAAUAUAUGACAUCAGCUUUUUUCCCACAGCGUGGAGUAUUAUCAUCACACAAAGUCUGACUAUUCACUUUCCUCCAGUCCAGACCUGCAUUUUUAACUUCACAGGAGCUAAUGCGUUCAUGACGUGUCGCUACAGUAGCUGUGAUCCCCUCCUUACUCACUUGUCUGCUCUGACUCAAAUCUCUCCGCCGCUGUUGUUUUUAUUCAGGACGGUGAGAAAAACAAAGAUAUCCAGUGAGGAGCAGCUCUGUGGAUGGAGACGCUUUCCAGGUUCCCUCCUGAUUUUCUGACUGGGUUCACCUGGUUGGAGCCUAUUUCAGCUGGGAGGUCUCAAGAUGGCCUCCGUCUCUCCUAGCCCUCCUCUCAACUUGGUUUUGUUUGGUUUUGAAUUGUGUUUAGGUAAGACCUCACUUCUUGCACAGGUAGUUUAAGUGAGCUCUUCCAUUUUUCCCUUGCAUCCAACGCCUACACUACUCUACUGACUACUGACCUGAUGUUCUAG